UACGUAGGGUGCGAGCGUUGUCCGGAAUUAUUGGGCGUAAAGGGCUCGUAGGCGGUUUGUCGCGUCGGGAGUGAAAACGCCGUGCUUAACACGGCGCUUGCUUUCGAUACGGGCAGACUAGAGGUAUUCAGGGGAGAACGGAAUUCCUGGUGUAGCGGUGAAAUGCGCAGAUAUCAGGAGGAACACCGGUGGCGAAGGCGGUUCUCUGGGAAUGACCUGACGCUGAGGAGCGAAAGUGUGGGAGCGAACAGG
rnacentral:rRNA from 1 species